AUUGAACGCUGGCGGCAGGCCUAACACCUGCAAGUCGAACGAGUGGCGGACGGGUGAGUAAUGUCUGGGAAACUGCCUGAUGGAGGGGGAUCACUACUGGAAACGGUAGCUAAUACCGCAUACCAUCGGAUGUGCCCAGAUGGGAUUAGCUAGUAGGUGGGGUAACGGCUCACCUAGGCGACGAUCCCUAGCUGGUCUGAGAGGAUGACCAUCCACACGGGAACUGAGACACGGUCCAGACUCCGACGGGAGGCCGCAGGGGGGAAUAUUGCACAAUGGGCGAAAUCCUGAUGCAGCCAUUCCGCGUGUAUGAAGAAGGCCUUCGGGUUGUAAAGUACUUUCAGCGGGGAGUCGUUACCCGCAGAAGAAGCACCGGCUAACUCCGUGCCAGCAGCCGCGGUAAUAC
rnacentral:rRNA from 1 species